rnacentral:misc_RNA from 1 species
GAUGAAGAACGCAGCGAAAUGCGAUAAGUAAUGCGAAUUGCAGAAUUCAGUGAAUCAUCGAGUCUUUGAACGCACAUUGCGCCCCCUGGUAUUCCGGGGGGCAUGCCUGUCCGAGCGUCAUUGCUGCCCUCAAGCACGGCUUGUGUGUUGGGCCCCGUCCCCUCCCCCGGGGACGGGCCCGAAAGGCAGCGGCGGCACCGCGUCCGAUCCUCGAGCGUAUGGGGCUUUGUCACCCGCUCUGUAGGCCCGGCCGGCGCCAGCCGACACCCAACUUUUAUUUCUAAGGUUGACCUCGGAUCAGGUAGGGAUACCCGCUGAACUUAAGCAUAUCAAUAAGCGGAGGA